ACACCAUGAAAAAAACAUAAUCAUACAAGAUAGAUUUUUGCGUUAUGGGGAAACAAUUAGCAGAUAUUUUAACACGGUAUUAAGAGCAGUCCUAUGUCUACAAGGAUAAUUGUUAAAAACACCAGAACCUAUUCCAGAAAACUCAUCUGAUGAGAAGUGGAAAUGGUUUAAGAAUUGUCUUGGGGCACUAGAUGGGACAUAUAUUAGAGUACAUGUGCCAAAAGCGGACAAGCCUAGGUACCGAAGUAGGAAGAAUGAAAUUGCUACUAAUGUCUUGGGAGUAUGCUCCCAAGAUAUGCAAUUCAUUUAUGUAUUACCGGGUUGGGAGGGUUCGGCUGCAGAUUCACGAGUACUACGUGAUGCCAUUAGUAGGAGACAUGGGUUCCGAGUCCCCUAUGGAUAUUACUACCUUGUUGAUGCUGAGUAUCCAAAUGGGGAGGGGUUUCUUGCUCCAUAUAGAGGCCAGAGAUAUCAUUUAAAUGAUUGGAGAGAAGGAUACCAACUUACCACCCUCGAAGAAUUUUUUUAAUAUGAAGCAUUCUUCUGCUAGGAAUGUGAUAGAGAGAUGUUUUGGGUUACUUAAGAUGCGAUGGGCAAUUCUAAGGAGCCCUUCAUUUUUUCCAGCGAAGACGCAGUGCCUAAUUGUUAUAGCAUGUUGCUUGCUUCACAACCUUAUAAGAAGGGAAAUGGCAAUUGAUCCCUUAGAAAAUGAACUGAAUGCCA